GUAAAAGAACUCAAUUUUUUCUCCAUUAACGAAGAAAGCAUUAGGAUGCUUGAUGGAAACAAAGUUCAGAGAGAAACCGAAUUGAGUUGUCAAUAGAGAAGAGGGGAAGAUCAUAAAAGGCGUAGUACUAGAAUUCCAAAUUCUAUACAUAUGUAAUGUUGUUUUUCUUGAUGAUGUUGUGAAGCACAAGUGCUACAUUUAAAGCUAGUAUUCAGGAUGUCAUCUACGUGGUACAAGUAAACCACAAGCAUAUGUCGAUUGGAGAGACUGAAGAGACGGUGUGUGUUGCACAUAUAGAAUAGGAUUGAUGUAUUUUAAAUUUUGACAGUGUUUCAAAUUG